AGUGGGAGCUCCUUGACGAGGCUCAGAGACACAUGUACCUCAGUGUGAUGCUGGACAACUUUGUCCUUGUGACCUCACUGGGUUGCUGGUGUGACAUAGAUAAUCAGGUUCCUUCUGAGCAGCAUGUUUCCGUGGAAAGACUGUCACACAUCUGGACUCCAACGCCAGACUUACUCACCCAGAAUGCCUAUCUCUGUGAAAUGUCUGACCCUGCCAUGGAAGAUAGGCAGUAUACAGCCGAGCAGAAAGGAAGACGUGAUCAGAAAUUGUACACAUGCGAGAAACAAUUCUCUUUCAGCGCAAACCUUUAUCAGAACCAGGAGCACAGUGGGGAGAAAUCCCACAGCAAGGACUUACACCAGGUCUGUAUAAAUAAUAACUACAGCAUUCACGCACCAGGGAAGCCCUAUGUCUGUGGGGAGGCUGAGAACAACUUCCCAGACAACUUGGGCUUCCUUCAGCACCAGGCCUCUCCUGAGGAGGUCAAGCCACGCAGUGUUGCUGGUUCUGGUGGCAAAAGUCACAAAUGUGACGAGUGCGGGAAAGCCUUCCGCCGCAGACGCACACUUGUUCAGCAUCAGAAAAUCCACACUGGAGAGGGACUGUAUGAGUGCAGUGACUGCGGGAAAACCUUCACCUAUAAGCACACAUUUAUUCAGCAUAAGACAGUCCACACCGGGGAAAAGCCUUUUGAGUGCAGUGACUGUGAUAAAGCCUUCAGGUUCAAAUACAAGCUUGUUCAGCACCAGCGUGUUCACACUGGAGAAAGGCCUUAUGAGUGUGCUGAAUGUGGAAGAGCUUUCGGGUGCAAAUCCAAGCUUGUGCGACACCAGAGAAUCCACACUGGAGCAAAACCCUACGAAUGUGCCGAAUGCGGGAAGUCCUUCAGACACAGCUCCAGCCUUGUCCAGCACCGGCGAGUUCACACUGGGGAAAAGCCAUAUGAGUGUAGGGAAUGUGGGAAAACCUUCAGACAAAGGUCCAGUCUCAUUCAACACCAGAAAGUCCACACAGGAGUAAAGCCUUAUGAGUGUAGUGAGUGUGGGAAAUGCUUCCGUCAAAGCUUCAGCCUUAUUCUGCAUCAGAGAAUUCAUACUGGAGAACGGCCUUACGAGUGCAGUGAGUGUGGGAAGUCUUUUAGCAAAAACUGUAACCUCAUUCAGCAUCAGAAACUUCACACCAGAUAAAGGCCUCUUGACACAGCCAGUUCAGGUAGCAGUCUAUUCUGAUUCAGCAUCAGAGACCUCACGACCCCAGAAUUUCUUGAAUUGAAUUCAGUGGAUAUGAGAAAGUCUUGUUCCGCACGAGAGAGUCCACCUAAGGUGACGGUCUCAGACCCUCAGAGAAUGUGCUGUUUGAUUGUUCAGCUGUGUGAAGGAGUCUCCUGCCUGAAGUUGAACCUCAUUCAUCUGAGCAUCCACAGUAGGGAGGUGCCUCAUUAGUUCCAGCUCUCCAGACAGAUGUUCACAUUUUUGUCUGACCUUCCUGAGUUGUUGUCUCUACGUACGUCUGCCUUGUCCCUGAAGCACACCAGGCUGACGCUGCAUGGUUGUGUAAGCCCAGCAGGCAACCCUGGGAGUAACCUCUGUGUCCUCUGUGCAGCCUGCAGAGGCUCACCAGAAUGCCGGACGUGACGCCGGACGUGGUGACCAAACAAGUGGAAACCACAAAACACGCUUUACCACACUUUUAAGCCUGUCAGGUCGAUGUGUGUGUUUUGUGUCCUGGUUUGUGGUGCUCUGAGCUUGGGGCCUGCUAGGUAUGUGCUGAGCUACUGAAGCAGGCGGCUGUCCUUCUUUUGCUUUUUGCCCUGACUGGUACCUGGACCCCAGUCUGCCUCGGUCAUUACACUUCCUGCAGCAUCUGAGAAGAUGGCCUGGACUGCACCUGCUCCUGGCUGCUUCUCUCCCGAAGGACCCUCACCAGCCAUUGGGCCCAGGCUGGCUUAGAGACCGCCUCCUAUGUGGCUAGGGUGGAGGAUGGUGCCUCCUGCAAGCUGGCAGUUGGGAGGAGGUUUUGAGAAUUUUGGUCCCACUUGGCCUUGAACCCACAAGUCAUGUGCAGGCGUGAGCUACUGCACCUGGUGGGCGUCAUUUGUAUGGUGGGUGUGUAGUACAUGUAGUGGGUGUGUUGUAGA